rfam:Dendroctonus ponderosae Seq01013845, whole genome shotgun sequence.
AUACUUACCUGGCGUAGGGGUUUACCGUGAUCAAUAAGGCGGUUCCCCCGGGGUGAGGCCCUUCCAUUGCACUACGGUUGGGCUGACCCCU